AUAUUUAACUAUGAGCGGAAGCCUGAUCCAUCCACGCUCCGUGAGUGAAGAAGGUGUUCGGAUUGUAUAGAACAUGAAGUUGGGAGGAAGGGCAGUAAGUCAAUCCCUUGCUGUUUUGACGCUACUGCAAGAGUAAGUACAGGCUAGCUUCGUUCAAGCAGCCGCGGUAAUACGAAGGGUGCAAGCGUUAAUUGGAAUUACUGGGAGUAAAGCGCGCGUAGGUGGUUAGUUAAGUUGAAAGUGAAAGCCCCGAGCUCAACUUGGGAAUUGCAUUCAAAACUGGACGGAUAGAGUAGGGCAGAGGGUGGUAGAAUUUCUUGUGUAGCGGUGAAAUGCGUAGAUAUCUGAAGGAACGCCACUGGCGAAGGCAACCACCUGGACUAAUACUGACACUGAGGUGCGAAAGCAUGGGGAGAAAACA
rnacentral:rRNA from 1 species